rnacentral:rRNA from 1 species
UGCAGUCGAGCGGACCGACGGGAGCUUGCUCCCUUAGGUCAGCGGCGGACGGGUGAGUAACACGUGGGUAACCUGCCUGUAAGACUGGGAUAACUCCGGGAAACCGGGGCUAAUACCGGAUGCUUGAUUGAACCGCAUGGUUCAAUCAUGAAAGGCGGCUUCGGCUGCCGUUUACAGAUGGACCCGCGGCGCAUUAGCUAGUUGGUGAGGUAACGGCUCACCAAGGCGACGAUGCGUAGCCGACCUGAGAGGGUGAUCGGCCACACUGGGACUGAGACACGGCCCAGACUCCUACGGGAGGCAGCAGUAGGGAAUCUUCCGCAAUGGACGAAAGUCUGACGGAGCAACGCCGCGUGAGUGAUGAAGGUUUUCGGAUCGUAAAGCUCUGUUGUUAGGGAAGAACAAGUACCGUUCGAAUAGGGCGGUACCUUGACGGUACCUAACCAGAAAGCCACGGCUAACUACGUGCCAGCAGCCGCGGUAAUACGUAGGUGGCAAGCGUUGUCCGGAAUUAUUGGGCGUAAAGCGCGCGCAGGCGGUUUCUUAAGUCUGAUGUGAAAGCCCCCGGCUCAACCGGGGAGGGUCAUUGGAAA